AGGAAUAUUGGUCAAUGGCCGGAAGGCUGAACCAGCCAUGCCGCGUGAAGGUCAGUGCCCUAUGGGCGUUAAACUUCUUUUGUGCGGGAGCAAUAAGGUCCACGUGUGGGCCGACGAGAGUACCGUACGAAUAAGCAUCGGCUAACUCCGUGCCAGCAGCCGCGGUAAUACGGGGGAUGCAAGCGUUAUCCGGAUUUAUUGGGUUUAAAGGGUGCGUAGGCUGUGAGGUAAGUCAGCGGUGAAAUGCCCCCGCUCAACGGGGUGAAGUGCCAUUGAUACUGCCUUGCUGGAAUGCGGAUGCCGUGGGAGGAAUGUGUGGUGUAGCGGUGAAAUGCGUAGAUAUUAGGAGGAACACCAGUGGCGAAGGCGGCUUACUGGACUGUAAAUGACGCUGAGGCUCGAAAGCGUGGGGAGCAAACAGG
rnacentral:rRNA from 1 species